rnacentral:antisense_RNA from 1 species
GUCCUGUGAUGACCUGUGGCGGAAGGUAAACCGAAGGUGACUGCGGUUAACGUCCUCGAUGGGAAUGGCCACCUUCAAGAAUUGAAAAAGAAGUUUAAGCACUGUUAUCAAUAUCAUCCAGCGUAACAGCUUUAUUCAACUGGAGCUAUCAGAUAUGAAAUUCCAGAUUAUGGGAGGGAGAGUUUGAAGAAGGAAGAACCACCAAUAGAAAGCGGUCCCCAAAGAGGUAUCGGGGAUGGCACCCAGACAGGAGCACAUGUACCACUGCCCAGAAUGUGCGUUUCACUAGACAAGUGACCACAAAACGCGGAGCACAGAGGACUUUUAGGAUGGUGAAGCUACCCAGUGAGAGACUACAAUGAGAUAAUUGGUCUUUCACAUUCCUCGUGCUGUCACCAAAAAUAACAGAGCAACAGCAGGGUGGAGGAAGAGCACCAGCACGGUGGAGGAAGAGCACCAACGUGGAGAUAAAGAGCACCAACAUGGCGGAGGAAGAGCACCAACAUGGCGGAGGAAGAGCACCAACAUGGCAGAGGAAGAGCACCAACAUGACGGAGAAAGAGCACCAACAUGGCAGAGGAAAAGCACCAACAUGGCGGAGGAAGAACACCAACAUGGCGGAGAAACAGCACCAACAUGGCGGAUGAAGAGCACCAACAUGAAGCUAACCGCGUUCUCUUCACGGUUUGCCUUUCUUCCUCUUCUUUGUUGCUUUGACCGUCCUGCACAUAUCCAUUCUUAUGUCCAUCACCAAGACCUGAAAACCUCCACUGACUGGCUUCCCUACAGACUGAGAAUAUGG